CACAAAUAAAUAUACAAAGGCUGCCCGCCGCUGUGCGGAAGGCUGGAGUAUUUUUUAUUACCCUUGUCUUUUGCGCACUUGUUGUUUCCUGGGCGGGUUCGCCCGCCACCAGGACCACACCAUAAACCUUUUUUAUGCAGUUGCAAUCAGCGUCAGUAUGUAAAAAUAAUCAUUUA
rnacentral:misc_RNA from 1 species